rnacentral:rRNA from 1 species
UACAGAGGGUGCGAGCGUUGUCCGGAAUCACUGGGCGUAAAGGGCGCGUAGGCGGCGCGGCAAGCGUGCGGUGAAAGCCCGGGGCUCAACCCCGGGUCGGCCGUGCGGACUGCCGGGCUGGAGCACUGUAGAGGCAGGUGGAAUUCCGGGUGUAGCGGUGGAAUGCGUAGAGAUCCGGAAGAACACCGGUGGCGAAGGCGGCCUGCUGGGCAGUAGCUGACGCUGAAGCGCGACAGCGUGGGGAGCAAACAGG